GACGAACGCUGGCGGCGUGCUUAACACAUGCAAGUCGAACGGAAAGGCCCUGCUUUUGUGGGGUGCUCGAGUGGCGAACGGGUGAGUAACACGUGAGUAACCUGCCCUUGACUUUGGGAUAACUUCAGGAAACUGGGGCUAAUACCGGAUAGGAGCUCCUGCUGCAUGGUGGGGGUUGGAAAGUUUCGGCGGUUGGGGAUGGACUCGCGGCUUAUCAGCUUGUUGGUGGGGUAGUGGCUUACCAAGGCUUUGACGGGUAGCCGGCCUGAGAGGGUUACCGGCCACAAUGGGACUGCGAUACGGCCCAGACUCCUACGGGAGGCAGAAGUGGGGAAUAUUGCACAAUGGGCGGAAGCCUGAUGCAGCAACGCCGCGUGCGGGAUGACGGCCUUCGGGUUGUAAACCGCUUUCGCCUGUGACGAAGCGUGAGUGACGGUAAUGGGUAAAGAAGCACCGGCUAACUACGUG
rnacentral:rRNA from 1 species